AGAAAGAAAGAAAGAAAGAAAGAAAGAAAGAAAGAAAGAAAGAAAGAAAGAAAGAAAGAAAGAAAGAAAGAAAGAAAGAAAGAAAGAAAGAGGCAACCCAGCUAUUUUUAAAAAUGACAAGGAGCAAAAUUUUUCAAGCUUAUCAGGCAAACAGCAAAUGAAUCCCAGACUCAGAGGCCUUCCUGCUCUGGGAGGGGUUUAGGAAUAAUUUUUCAACAUGUGAGCUCUAUCUUGUCUUCACGACUUCCCCUCCAUUAUGGCUGGGCUUGGGAGAGAGUCACUCACUGAAGACACACUUAAUCAAUGUCACACUCUUCCCCCCACCAAGGCUCCUGCUGCUUGGGCCUUAGUGAUGAAAUAUUAAUGAAAAGGGGAGGGGACAAAGAAAUGUGUGCUGAGUGGGCUGAAGAUUUUUCUUCUGAGAGUGUCACUGGGAGGGGUGGGAAAGGACAAAUACUUCCUAGAGUGUCACUGGGAGGGGUGAAGGACAAAUAGCCCUAAACUGUGAAAUGGUAAGAAGUUACAUUUUUAUAUAAGGACAAGGUAACGGGAUGCCUAAUGGAUUAAAAGCAGUGUUUUAUUUUACUUGCAAGAAAGGGCUGGCAAAGUGGCUCAUUUGGAUCCUCAGAACCCACUGUAGUUAGUGCCUGCAUUCCCAGUGCUGGGAGACUGAGUUGGGGGACUCCCGAGGCUUUGCUAGCCAGAGAGUCACUCCAAAUGAGUGAGCCCAGGUCCAGCAAGAAGCCCUGUCUUAGAAGAUAAGAUGGUGACUCAGAGAAUAGGAACUCUUACUGCUUCUCCGGAGGGCACUUUGGACUGCUCACACCUGCCUGUAUCUCCAAUUUCAGGGCCACUGAAACCUCUGGUCUCCAGGGGAGGUGGAUUCAUGUGCAACACACACACACACACACACACACACACACACACACACACACACACACACACACACACACACACAAAUCUUAAGAGAAUGAGAUAGAAAGCAAUUGAGGACCCUUGAUGAGGACCUCUAACUUCAUACCAAUCUCACCCCUGUGCCCAUCCCCAAGUCACACUCCACAAUGAGUCAGUAAAUUUCUGCCAAUGAGACUUGAGCUCUGGAGUCCUGCCUGACAUCUGUGAAAAUUUACCACAGGAGCCUACUGGUGAGAGCUGAGUGUGGGACUCAGCUGGAGGAAGCUUGCCCAUGGCCCUGGGUUCCGCUCCCAGAACCAGCAAAAGAAAUUGUCAGCCUUCUGCUUGCAAAUACUAGUGACAUAGAGGGUGGUGCUGAAGGUGAUGGAGAGGAGCAGGCAAGAGGAGACAGAAGUGCCAGAAGGAGUCUCCGGGAAGCCUCCACUCAUACUCUGCAGACUAAAGGCCUAAGAUUGCUUUGUUAGUUGGGAAGAAAAGCUAUCAGCAUUCAGCUGGGAACAUCAGAAGCCAUCUUGACAUUGAUGAGGAUAUGGGUCACAUUGCUCUUAGUACAAGUCCCUGUCACAAACCUAUGGUCACCUCUGCCACGGUGUAGUCAGAAUGCAUAAACCACUUACCCUCAAGAAGUGACACCCGCCAAGCCCCAAGGAGCUAACUCUCUACUAGUAUCUUAAAAGUGUCUUAUUCCUCUGAAUUGUCAGUGUCAUAAAAGUCAAAGGCGGCCAUGUAAAUCUUCUGAACUGAAAAAAAAGAUUAAAGAGACAAAAUACAAACAAAUGCUAUAUGAGGCCCCAGACAGGAAAAAUGACAAAGACAAAAACAUCAGUUCGGUUGCUAGAAUUGCAAUAAAAAUGAUAGUUUAGAUAAAUGUAUUACAUAAAUAUUGUUUGUUGUAGCCGGGAUGCGAUUAUGUAAAGCAUAAAGUAAGACAUAAGAGAAUCAUUAAGAUAGAUAACGUCUAUUUCUAGGUGGUUUAAAAUAUAUCGCAAUACCUAUGUGUGUUUCUAUAAACAUUGAUAUACAUAAUACAUACUUAUAUAUGAGGAAAAGAGAGCGUUCAUUCCAAUGUGGUAAGGUAUAAAAAAUGGCUGAGUCUAACUGGGGUGCACAGUUGUACUCUGCUGCUUCCUCACAAGCUUAACUCUUUCCAAAUAUCAAGUUUUAGAGUAGCCUUUAUUUUCCCUUAAGAGGAGAGUGAGCCUGAAAGCAGGGCGUGGCUUAGCCAUGGGUAUUCAGCUUGGCCAGCACUGGGUUACUCAUCUCUUCUUCCCUAUCCUGAGCUCAGUGUGAUCUUUACUAUAAGCUCAUACUCACUUGAGUUUCCUCCCACAAACUUAACUGAGGUCCCUUCAUGUGACCAAUCCCCAGUAGUAGGUGCCACAACUCUCCCCUCAGAUUCUGUCUGAACACAGUGCAACAGAGUAAGGACCUUAUUCCUCAGCUCUGGACACUGGGAUCCCAAGGACGCAGGCUGCCUCUGCUUGACUUUGUGGUAUCUCCUGGCCUUUCUUAGGAGAGCUUGCACCCACAGUGUCCAUUUCCUUAUCAACAAGGACACACAAUUCUGUUGGAUUGUGGUCCCACUGCUGGGUAGCCUCAUUCAACAAGGGUGUUCCUGUCACAGGACAUGUCUUCUGAUGGUCACUUUAGGCUUCAACAUAGGAACUUGGGGAUCAAAUGGUUAAAUCCUAACGGGAGAGUCUGGUAAUCAUCACAGAAAUUGGGGGGGGGGGGGGCAAGGCUGGGUCUUAUACCUCAAGAAAAUGAUUUACUGAGUGCACAGUACAUAGAAUUCACUCAAUACAUAUCACAGUCAUUUCCUAGCAAAUUCUGUUUUCACAAAAGCAUAAGUGGUGUAUGGGGACUCAGAACUAUUUCUCUUGUCUAUUCAUGUAAGAUUUUUCUAAAAAUCAUUGUCAAGCAGCGGGUCAAACAUAGACGGGGCACCAUGGAGAUCAGCACCACUGAGCAUCUCCUUCAGUCAUCUACUCUGCUGCUCUCACGACCCUCACAGGGUGGGCUGUCUGAAGAAGGCACCACAAAGUAGAAGCAGAAACCCCCGACAGAAAGAUGUGCAUAGAAAAUGUGACUUUGUGGUGGAAGUGAUCUGACCCCAGCCCUGCAGGUGGGUCACUGAAGACCCACCCCUGGAUACCAGGGCUAUGCCUGGAAGUAACUUCUCUUAUUUUUUUCAUGUUUCCCUAUUAAUCAUUUGAGUAGAUAUGAGAAGCAAUAUCAGGCUUCAUUAAGAGGGAGGCCAGUGACUUAGAAGCACAGUGUAGCAUUAAGGCCAAGUUUAUCAUGAGCUCCCUGCUUCCUGUUCCUAAGGAACAGAGCACUCUUGCUAUGAUCCAGCCCUUCUUCUGCAUGAGAUGAGCAUUCUUACGUGCAGAAACUCAGUCCAUUCAUGAAUAGUGAAUGCAUAGUGCAAUCAUGAAUAGCCAGAAGGCAUCAUGCAAGUAUAAGAAAGGGGACCUGAUCAUUUGUCUUAGGUGGAUGGCAGGGCUAAGAAAGAGAGUAAAACUUAUUCAAGUUAGUGGUACCUUCAAAGAAUAAGCCACCUUUAAAAAUAUACUUUAAUUAAUUCUUUGAGAUUUUCAGUGUAUUUUGAUCAUAUUCCCUCACAGUGUCCCCCACUAGCUCCUGCCAGAUCCACCCCACCGACUUUCCCCCAACUUUGUGUCUUUUUUAUUUUAUUUAAUAACUCAUAUUAUUAUAUAAUAACUCAGUUCAUGCUAUCCACAUACUUGUUCAUACAUGUACUGCAGUUUAGCUGACUUAACAGGAGCCACACUCAUAAGGAAAAUGGAGUCUUCCUCCCCGAGAAGCCACAACUGCUCACAGAUAGUAAGAGGUGGGACUGAUAAACCCCUUUUCACUUUACGACAGACUGUUGACAGGCCCAAUGUGGUAUGGCAGACAGCCACACCUGGGAUGACUUCAUGAGUGUCAUGGGCCUGUCAUCUCCAGAAGAUAUUGUUUGCUUGAGUCCUCCCCAGCCUCUGGCUCUUACCACCUUUCUGCUGUCUCAUCCACAAUGGUCCCUGAGACUUUAACCUAUGUGUGAGUGUGUGUAUGCACAGGGGUAGUAAGACAGAUUUCCCAUUUGUGGCUGGAUUCCACAGUUAUUUUUGUCUGCACUUUGAUCAGUUAUAAAAUUCUGCAUUAACUGCCAACCACUGCACAAAGAAACAUCUCUGCUGGAAUCUGAGAGCUGUACUAAUCUAUGGGUACAGAAAUGUGUGUCUAGAAGGUUGUUUGGCAUUAUGUUCACUUAGCAAAGUAAUAAUAAUAAUUAAUUCAUCCCCCAAACCCUAUGAGCACCCCAAUCAUGCUAGAUUUACAGCAGCAAACAUGUGUUUCACACUGGAGGAAUUAAAUCCAAGUAGAAAUAGUUGGUUACCCAGAUGACAUUCAUGCCACUAUUGCAUCUGUAAUCCUAUCUGGUCAUUAUUACAGUUCACAGGUUCAUAGCUAAAUAAUAUUUCUGAUGAUCUAUUGCCUUCAGCAGCCUAGACAGCACUGAUCAAAACUAUGAAUGCUAGACAGAAGGGAGGAAGCUUCCUCAUAAGUCUUGACUUGACUUCCUCAUGCCCAGUGAAGCCACCACUUUAAAUCCUUUUUCAAAUUUGUUGCAGGUUAACAUUGCUUUGUUUUUUCAGUAAUAACAAAAAUUUGAAUGGGCAGGGUGGUAUAGUUUUUGCUUUCGGGUCUUUAACCCAUAAUAUGUCUAAAUUUUAGUUACUUGAAAACAAAUUCUCACCAGACCUAUUACAGACUAUAUACAUAUGACAUAAAGUAUAUAUAAUAUGUUGUUGAAAAUAUUUAAUCUCAAUUAGGGACUUCUACUCAGUCUUUGAUUGUUCAAUUCUCAGAUAAAAGGCACAUUCAACCUUUAAUUUAUAAUAAGCCUUUACCAGCACUAAAGUUGGGCAGAUAUCUACCCUGUAUGCUAUUAGAAUCUACUUUCCUAUUGAUAACCCCAAGUUAUUACUUAUUGUGUUCCAUCUGGGCUGCUCUUAACUCUAAUUGGCUAGCCCUCAUGGCCAUGAUUUUAAGAAUCUUACUUCAUGGUGUCCUUUCUUCCCUCCAUCUUUCUCUCUCCUCAUGGUCUCCCUGGACCCCAAGCCCUGGAACCCCCAAACCUGCCUAUGUCUCUUCUGCUCAGCUAGUCACUGUGGGCAUCUUCAUUUAACCAAUAGUUUUAAAUCAAGGAGCAAGGUCACAUAGCAUGUGCGGAUUCUCUCAUUCCUGGUAGCAAUCUGGCCUUGAGGGGCAGUACUUACCAUUAUAAUACAUAUCAAAAGAUCACACCUCAACAACAAUAAAUAUGAAUUAUAAAUGAAUUAUCUGCAAAAUUUCCAUAGUUUGUGAAAAGUGUCCCAUGGUGAAAGAGGUUUCAUUAAAAUGCAUUGAAUUUUUCUCAUGCUAUUUGUUAUAUGCUAAGUAUAGGAAACACGGAUGGUCAAAUGGGUUAUCUGCCUUUAAUUCACUCCAAGAGCAAAGAAAGGAAAAAAGAUAUGUGAAACUGAAAAUUCUCUUUGCCCUAAUUAGCUCUCUUUCCAAAUUGAUUUUCUUUGUAAUUCACUGUUCCUACAGACAGCUACCUACUCAUCAAGCCUUGUAUCUCUAAAACCACAAUCGUCUUUGCUUUCCUUUGUGUGAUUUGAGGUUAAUCACAAAACACAACUGUACCCCUCAAGGACCAAUAGGAGGAAUUUCUGUGAGUAUCCUCCGGGGCAUCUGCUUUGAUGCUUGUUACAAAGCUCACCUUAGGGCUGUGGACAUUGAGAGUUGGGGCAAAUGUGUCCAUGCACCACUGAGGCAGAGGAGAAGAGGAGAGACUGUGGGCUCAAAUAAAGCCCUUCUUUGUCCUAGACAUUGGUGGAUGUGCUGAUGAAUAUUAGGGGGAGACAGCAAGAAAAGUCAGGAAGAAUUAUAGACGUCAAUGUGGUUGAAGACACUGGGGAUGAUGGCAGCAAAUCUCAAACCAAGCUUGAGAUUUGUUGAGGAAAGGUGAAAGGAGAGAUUCUUCACUGGGAACAUCUAUAUGGGCCUGCCAAGGCCUCUGUGUUAAGGAGAACAAGAUACUUCAGAACGGCCAGAUAAGGGGCCUGCAGAACAGGGUCAUGACUGACCCGUCCUAUUUCAAUCACAGGCCCAACCAUACCAAGGACUGGGCCUUUUGUACGUCUCAAGAUGACACAAUAACACACCAAUCUCUUGGAUGGGCAGAGGCCAGGGCAGAACCUAAAUCUACUCUCUCAUCUCACCUGUAGCCUUUGGACUUACCAGGUGAGUUCCAGCCCCUCUGGUUUGGCGUCUCCUGCCCUGUGGCUCCUACUUCACACAUUACUCUUCUGUCCUUUGGACUUAUUUGAGUUGGGCCAAGUGACUGAGGAAAGAGAGACUUCUGUCUCGGUGGCAGUUCCUGUAGAGCUUAGUCUGGAUGGAGCCUAUGGAAGCAGGCAGAUGAAUUCAACCUGCCUAGAGGAACAAGACAAGGUCAUUGGCAUUUGAGGUCACCAUAUCCCACCUGGAUUAGGCUGAACACUUGUACACCGUCCUGACAUCUAUUUUCUCCUAGUUUUGGAGCCUCAAACAUUCCUACAUUGCCUCAUAGUUUAACUCUAGUGGACAUGUGUCCUAAACAGAUCUAACAGGCACUCAUGUGAUAUAUGCCUUUCCCUUUAAUUUACCCAUCCAUCUAUUUAGAAGUUGCCCAUUAAACUAUUGCAACAAAACUAUAUUAACUUUCAUUUUAAGAUUUAAUUUUACUAUUUUUGAUUAUGUGUGUGUGUGUGUGUGUGUGUGUGUGUAUGCAUGUGUGUGUCUGCAUGUGAGUGUGUGUACAUGAAUAUAUGGUGUCUCAAAGGCCAGAGACAUCAAAUCUCCUGGAGCUAUUGUUACCAGUGGUUGUGAGCCACCUGAUGUGGGUACUUGGAACUGAACUCUGGCCUUCCAGAAGUGCAGCAAGUGUUGCUAACCAAUGCACCAUCUUUCUAGCAACCAGUACUAAUUUUCUGUAUACACAGAGAUAAUGAAUAUACAGUCUGUCUUAAGUAUGGUUACAUACUCUACAGAGAAUGUACAAAUACCAUAAAUAAUUUCCUUCACUUUACAAUGUGCCAGAGCCUACAGGGUGACAUUUACACAACGUGCUGAGUGAUGAUACAAAGGUUUUUGUCUUCAGUCUUUGAAUCAGAAGCUCUUGAUUUUUACACCUCUCUAGUGGAAAUGAUGUAGACUCAUCUUCCCAGAAAUAUAGAACUUGGCCUGGUUGCUCUGAAAACCCAGAAGUGACCCCAGAUCAACACUGCCCCCACUAGACGCUCUGCUGGCUCUCAGAGGUCGUAGUGUGGUAUGUUUACAAGUCUGAGGUCUCCAGAAAAAUAGUCCAGUCACAGCCCACUGUGCCUCCUGCUUUCAUCUGUGGUGACCAGACCAGGUUGCUGAGUCUGUACUGUGUACAGGCAGGAUGACUUCCUGUGAGACACAGAGCUAAGGAGCCACCCACUCUAUGGCACAGUCAUUCUGAGGAGAUAUACCAUUAUACUUGUGUGAAAAUGGUAAUGGCAACAGUCAUCCUGAGUGGAUUCACCAUUCUACUUGUGUGGAAACAGUAAGUAACAACCACAACAGCUAUCCUGACUGGAGGGCAGGAGGAACACAUUAUUACAAGAACAAUUAAAUGCUAUUCAUGGCAAUUGCUAAUUCACAGUCGUUAAAAUGCAAAGUUUUUCAUAAGAACAGACACAAACCAAUGUCCUAGCUGAAAUCGUCACUGAUGUGGUAAAAGGCAGCCUAGCCUCUAGAUGAGUUGGCAGCAUAUGAGAUAAGGUUCACAUUCUUGGGAGUAAAGAGUGGCUGUGGGACUUGGGGGAAACUCUUUAAUGUUGCAAAAUAUCUGAGGACAUUCACAUGCACACGAUAAGGUUAUAAUGGCCCUUGGGAUUUCCACUGAACAAAAGGUCCCAUCCAGCAGCAGGUGAAUAGAGCAGGCUAUGGCUGAAAAGGGUGUUUUAUUCCUGCCUUUGGAUGGAACUAUUUUGAUGCAAUGAAGGCUUAUGAGUAAGUUUUAAAAUCCAAGUUUAAUUUAAUGUUAUCAAACAAAAUUGUGGGACCUUUCCCCCAUGCUUUGCCAAUACUCCGAGCAUCAUAUUGAUUUCAGACUCCAUUUAUGAGCCAGGAAGACCCCGGGGGAAAUAUCCGUACUGGGAGGAUGCUGAGUCUGAUCAGAGAAGUGUUUGCACUUGCUUCUUGAGAGGCCUCAGAUCUUCUCCCCUUUCACACAGGAGACAGCCUAUCCCCUUUUAGAUCAAAAGCAGUUUGAAUAUGACUUAAUGGGGCUGGGGUUGUUUGUGAAGCUGAGAUCACUGGUUUAAUUCUUGUUUAAUAAUUCUUAUUUAUGAUAUCCAUGAAAGUGUUUACACUUUAAUGAGUCUCUGCCUGCUUGUCCUCAAAACAGGCUAUAGGGACAUCACAAGACAUACAUGAUAACAGCUAAUACUACAUACCAGCAGAAAGUUGAUAAGAUUCUGUCUUCAUCAUUGUCCCUGAUAAGGAUAUAACCUGAACAGUACAUCGCUCUGUCUGACCCACAGUGAUGAGUCAUGUGCCAUGAACAAAUAAGCUCUUGUCUAAUGUCAAUGGGAUUAAACUGAA